CAGCCUCGUCAUUUUCUGUUGGCUGCCCUACCUCAAACUUUGACCUCUUCAAGUCCCUCCCCUACAUUAUUGACAAUUAUAAGCUCUCUUCAAGGUUAAUGGUGCUUUACUAAUCCCCUUUCUGUGGGCCAGUGGGGCUCAGGCUUUUGAGCAUUUCUGGGGACUCUUGCAUAUUUGCUUCUGGAGCAUUGUAACCUGAGGAAGUCCUUUCGCUUGCACAAGAAUGUGAAGAAAUGACGACCCUAGUAUGGCAUUAUGUAAAAAUGUGAAUGUGUAACCUAUGUGAUUCUGCAAUCUGUAUUUGGGGUAAAAAUGGGAGUUCAUAACUCACUUGAAACUAUUGUUCGAAGUAUGAU
rnacentral:lncRNA from 1 species